GAGGAAUUUUCCGCAAUGGGGGCAACCCUGACGGAGCAACGCCGCGUGCAGGAAGACGCUUUUCGGAGUGUAAACUGCUUUCCUGUGGGACGAGCGAGGACGGUACCACAGGAAGAAGCCCCGGCUAACUACGUGCCAGCAGCCGCGGUAAUACGUAGGGGGCGAGCGUUGUCCGGAGUUACUGGGCGUAAAGGGCAUGCAGGCGGUCGGACGCGUUUCGGGUGACAGCGGGUGGCUUAACUACCCGAGCGGUCGAAAGACGGUUCGACUUGAGGACGCGAGAGGGACACGGAAUUCCGGGUGGAGUGGUGAAAUGCGUAGAGAUCCGGAGGAACACCGAAGGCGAAGGCAGUGUCCUGGCGCGUAACUGACGCUGAGGUGCGAAAGCCAGGGGAGCGAAC
rnacentral:rRNA from 1 species